rnacentral:lncRNA from 1 species
GAAGGAGAAGGGAUGGGGAAGUGGAGGCACUGUCACCUGCAGCCUCAGGAACUGUCACCUGCGGCCUCGAGAGGAGAAACACAGGGGAAGUGUAACCUCCCCACUCCAGGAAGAUGCUGACCUGGCUUGCAAUUUCUUGGAGGAAACAGGUAUUUGGAUUCCCUAUAUCAACAGAGAAGGGAAAAGGGGUUGGAAAGAUGGCACAGAGAUUACAAGAGCUGGCUGCUUUUCCAGAGGACCCACCCAGUGGCUCACAACCGUUCACUUCCAGAGGGACGGGCAUCCUCUUCUGACCUCUGAGGACAUUGUACAUGCAUGGUGCAUAGAUUUACAUGCAAGCAAACGCCUGUACACGUAAAAUAAGUAAUAAAAGUCU